rnacentral:sRNA from 1 species
GAAGCGAGAGAACGUUGCCGCAGGCAAUGGCCCGAAGGCGAGGCGCUUUAGCGCCGAGUAAUCCUUACCCCACCACUG